rnacentral:rRNA from 1 species
UACGUAGGGUGCGAGCGUUGUCCGGAAUUAUUGGGCGUAAAGAGCUCGUAGGCGGUCUGUCGCGUCGGUCGUGAAAACUUGGGGCUUAACCCUGAGCUUGCGGUCGAUACGGGCAUGACUGGAGUUCGGCAGGGGAGACUGGAAUUCCUGGUGUAGCGGUGAAAUGCGCAGAUAUCAGGAGGAACACCAGUGGCGAAGGCGGCACUCUGGGCCGGUACUGACGCUGAGGAGCGAAAGCGUGGGGAGCGAACAGG